rnacentral:rRNA from 1 species
CCUACGGGGGGCUGCAGUGGGGAAUAUUGGACAAUGGGGGGAACCCUGAUCCAGCCAUGCCGCGUGUGUGAAGAAGGCCCGCGGGUUGUAAAGCACUUUCAGUGAGGAAGAACGCCUGGUGGUUAAUACCCAUCAGGAAAGACAUCACUCACAGAAGAAGCACCGGCUAACUCCGUGCCAGCAGCCGCGGUAAUACGGAGGGUGCGAGCGUUAAUCGGAAUUACUGGGCGUAAAGCGCGCGUAGGUGGCUUGAUAAGCCGGUUGUGAAAGCCCCGGGCUUAACCUGGGAACGGCAUCCGGAACUGUCAAGCUAGAGUGCAGGAGAGGAAGGUAGAAUUCCCGGUGUAGCGGUGAAAUGCGUAGAGAUCGGGAGGAAUACCAGUGGCGAAGGCGGCCUUCUGGACUGACACUGACACUGAGGUGCGAAAGCGUGGGUAGCAAACAGGAUUAGAUACCCGAGUAGUC